rnacentral:misc_RNA from 1 species
GUAUUUUGAAUUGUUUUAUUCAUAAUAUUUUUCAGACAAAGAGUUGAGAUAUAGUUGAUGUUUGGGGCUGAUCCUCUCGAGAGAAAAAUCAACCCUGACAUUGCACACAAGGUGGAUAUGGAUUUUUAAAGAGUGCCAUAAAACACUCAUUGUGAAUGAUCCUUCCGCAGGUUCACCUACGGAAA